GGCAUGAGUAACGAGAAAACGGGUGAGAAACCCGUUCGCCGCAAACCCAAGGUUUCCUAGGUAAAGCUAAUCUGCCUAGGGUUAGUCGACCCCUAAGAUGAGGCUGAAAAGCGUAGUCGAUGGGAAACAGGUAAAUAUUCCUGUACUAUGAUAUGUUUCGAUGGAAUGACACAGAUUGUUUGCGUACGCGUUAGAUUGGUAGAUAACGUCAAACAGUUUAGACUUGUGAUGAGUAAAAUGCUUGUUGCUUUAAGGUUGAGGCUGGAUAGUGACUGGGCUUUCGGGUUCAGGAAGUUGCGUGAGCUAGGCUGUCGAGAAAUAAUUUCUAAGGUUAGGCAUGUCAUAAUCGUACCGCAAACCGACACAGGUGGGUGAGAUGAGUAUUCUAAGGCGCUCGAGAUAAUCUUCCCUAAGGAACUCUGCAAAUUAGUCUUGUAACUUCGGAAAAAGAGACGCUUGAAUCUUGGUAGCAAUAUUGAGAGGAGAGUCGCAGUGAAAAGGCCUGGCCGACUGUUUAACAAAAACACAGAUCUCUGCAAACAUGUAAAUGGAUGUAUAGGGAUUGACACCUGCCCAGUGCUGGAAGGUUAAAAGGAGAGGUUAGCGUAAGCGAAGCUUCGAAUUGAAGCCCCAGUAAACGGCGGCCGUAACUAUGACGGUCCUAAGGUAGCGAAAUUCCUUGUCGGGUAAGUUCCGACCUGCACGAAUGGUGUAACGAUCCGGGCACUGUCUCGGGGAAGAACUCGGUGAAAUUGAAUUAUCAGUGAAGAUGCUGAUUACCCGCAACAGGACGGAAAGACCCCGUGAACCUUUACUAUAACUUGACAUUGAGUUUUGUUUUGUGAUGUGUAGGAUAGAUGGGAGGCUUUGAAGUGGGAGCGCCAGCUUUCAUGGAGCCAUCGUUGAAAUACC
rnacentral:rRNA from 1 species